rnacentral:misc_RNA from 1 species
AAGUCAGGGGCGAAAUCAAC